AACUAUCAACCAUGUCUCGAUUGACUUUGAGCACAUGGCUUGGAUGUGGGGGUUGCUGGCUGCGAAAGCGGUCAGCUCUCCUUAAACGCAUUAGCAAAGGGGUGUGCUAUGGUCUUCUGGACGUGCACGGCCUUUGACGUGAUAAUGAUCGUUGUGGCUGGAGCACCAAACCAAUGUAGGGA
rnacentral:misc_RNA from 1 species